GCCAGGCGCUGUGGUGCACACCUGUAAUCCCAGCAGCUUGGGAGGCUAAGGCAGGAGGAUCACGAAUUCAAAGUCAGCCUCAGCAAAAGCGUGGCACUAAGCAACUCAGUGAGACCCUGUCUCUA
rnacentral:sRNA from 1 species